UACGUAGGGUGCGAGCGUUGUCCGGAAUUAUUGGGCGUAAAGAGCUCGUAGGUGGUUUGUCGCGUUGUCCGUGAAAACUCACAGCUCAACUGUGGGCGUGCGGGCGAUACGGGCAGACUGGAGUACUGCAGGGGAGACUGGAAUUCCUGGUGUAGCGGUGGAAUGCGCAGAUAUCAGGAGGAACACCGGUGGCGAAGGCGGGUCUCUGGGCAGUAACUGACGCUGAGGAGCGAAAGCGUGGGGAGCGAACAGG
rnacentral:rRNA from 1 species